UGGACGUUACUCGCAGAAUAAGCACCGGCUAACUCUGUGCCAGCAGCCGCGGUAAUACAGAGGGUGCAAGCGUUAAUCGGAUUUACUGGGCGUAAAGCGCGCGUAGGUGGCCAAUUAAGUCAAAUGUGAAAUCCCCGAGCUUAACUUGGGAAUUGCAUUCGAUACUGGUUGGCUAGAGUAUGGGAGAGGAUGGUAGAAUUCCAGGUGUAGCGGUGAAAUGCGUAGAGAUCUGGAGGAAUACCCGAUGGCGAAGGCAGCCAUCUGGCCUAAUACUGACACUGAGGUGCGAAAGCAUGGGGAGCAAACAGGAUUAGAUACCCUGGUAGUCCAUGCCGUAAACGAUGUCUACUAGCCGUUGGGGCCUUUGAGGCUUUAGUGGCGCAGCUAACGCGAUAAGUAGACCGCCUGGGGAGUACGGUCGCAAGACUAAAACUCANAUGANUNGACGGGGGCCCGCACAAGCGGUGGAGCAUGUGGUNNANUUCGAUGCACCGCGAAGAACCUUACCUGGUCUNGACAUAGUAAGAACUNNCCAGAGAUGGAUGGGUGC
rnacentral:rRNA from 1 species